rnacentral:misc_RNA from 1 species
GAUGAAGAACGCAGCGAAAUGCGAUAAGUAAUGUGAAUUGCAGAAUUCAGUGAAUCAUCGAAUCUUUGAACGCACCUUGAGCUCCUUGGUAUUCCGAGGAGCAGGCCUGUUUGAGUGUCAUGAAAUUCUCAACCUUUUCAGCUUUCUUUGUUGAUCAGGCUUGGAUGUGGGAGUAUGCGGGCUUCUCAGAAGUCGGCUCUCCUGAAAUGCAUUAGCGGGACCUUUGUUGCCUGGCUUUGGUGUGAUAAUUAUCUACGCCAUUGUAGUCAAGCAGCUUAAAAUGAGGUUUCAGCUUCUAACCGUCUCCCCUGAGACAACUUUUUGACAAUUUGACCUCAAAUCAGGUAGGACUACCCGCUGAACUUAAGCAUAUCAAUAAGCGGAGGA